AAAUUGAAGAGUUUGAUCAUGGCUCAGAUUGAACGCUGGCGGCAGGCCUAACACAUGCAAGUCGAACGGUAACAGGAAGCAGCUUGCUGCUUUGCUGACGAGUGGCGGACGGGUGAGUAAUGUCUGGGAAACUGCCUGAUGGAGGGGGAUAACUACUGGAAACGGUGGCUAAUACCGCAUAACGUCGCAAGACCAAAGAGGGGGACCUUCGGGCCUCUUGCCAUCAGAUGUGCCCAGAUGGGAUUAGCUAGUUGGUGAGGUAACGGCUCACCAAGGCGACGAUCCCUAGCUGGUCUGAGAGGAUGACCAGCCACACUGGAACUGAGACACGGUCCAGACUCCUACGGGAGGCAGCAGUGGGGAAUAUUGCACAAUGGGCGCAAGCCUGAUGCAGCCAUGCCGCGUGUAUGAAGAAGGCCUUCGGGUUGUAAAGUACUUUCAGCGGGGAGGAAGGUGUUGUGGUUAAUAACCGCAGCAAUUGACGUUACCCGCAGAAGAAGCACCGGCUAACUCCGUGCCAGCAGCCGCGGUAAUACGGAGGGUGCAAGCGUUAAUCGGAAUUACUGGGCGUAAAGCGCACGCAGGCGGUCUGUCAAGUCGGAUGUGAAAUCCCCGGGCUCAACCUGGGAACUGCAUUCGAAACUGGCAGGCUUGAGUCUUGUAGAGGGGGGUAGAAUUCCAGGUGUAGCGGUGAAAUGCGUAGAGAUCUGGAGGAAUACCGGUGGCGAAGGCGGCCCCCUGGACAAAGACUGACGCUCAGGUGCGAAAGCGUGGGGAGCAAACAGGAUUAGAUACCCUGGUAGUCCACGCCGUAAACGAUGUCUACUUGGAGGUUGUGCCCUUGAGGCGUGGCUUCCGGAGCUAACGCGUUAAGUAGACCGCCUGGGGAGUACGGCCGCAAGGUUAAAACUCAAAUGAAUUGACGGGGGCCCGCACAAGCGGUGGAGCAUGUGGUUUAAUUCGAUGCAACGCGAAGAACCUUACCUGGUCUUGACAUCCACAGAACUUUCCAGAGAUGGAUUGGUGCCUUCGGGAACUGUGAGACAGGUGCUGCAUGGCUGUCGUCAGCUCGUGUUGUGAAAUGUUGGGUUAAGUCCCGCAACGAGCGCAACCCUUAUCCUUUGUUGCCAGCGAUUAGGUCGGGAACUCAAAGGAGACUGCCAGUGAUAAACUGGAGGAAGGUGGGGAUGACGUCAAGUCAUCAUGGCCCUUACGACCAGGGCUACACACGUGCUACAAUGGCGCAUACAAAGAGAAGCGACCUCGCGAGAGCAAGCGGACCUCAUAAAGUGCGUCGUAGUCCGGAUUGGAGUCUGCAACUCGACUCCAUGAAGUCGGAAUCGCUAGUAAUCGUGGAUCAGAAUGCCACGGUGAAUACGUUCCCGGGCCUUGUACACACCGCCCGUCACACCAUGGGAGUGGGUUGCAAAAGAAGUAGGUAGCUUAACCUUCGGGAGGGCGCUUACCACUUUGUGAUUCAUGACUGGGGUGAAGUCGUAACAAGGUAACCGUAGGGGAACCUGCGGUUGGAUCACCUCCUUACCUGAAAGAAGC
rnacentral:rRNA from 4 species